UUUUAAAGACCUAGCAAUAGGUAUGCUUAGGGAGGAGCUUGCGUCACAUUAGUUAGUUGGUGGGGUAAAGGCCUACCAAGACUAUGAUGUGUAGCCGGGCUGAGAGGUUGAACGGCCACAUUGGGACUGAGACACGGCCCAAACUCCUACGGGAGGCAGCAGUAGGGAAUUUUCGGCAAUGGAGGAAACUCUGACCGAGCAACGCCGCGUGAACGAUGAAGUAUUUCGGUACGUAAAGUUCUUUUAUUAGGGAAGAAUAAAUGAUGGAAAAAUCAUUCUGACGGUACCUAAUGAAUAAGCCCCGGCUAACUAUGUGCCAGCAGCCGCGGUAAUACAUAGGGGGCAAGCGUUAUCCGGAAUUAUUGGGCGUAAAGGGUGCGUAGGCGGUUAAAUAAGUUUAUGGUCUAAGUGCAAUGCUCAACAUUGUGAUGCUAUAAAAACUGUUUAGCUAGAGUAAGAUAGAGGCAAGUGGAAUUCCAUGUGUAGUGGUAAAAUGCGUAAAUAUAUGGAGGAACACCAGUAGCGAAGGCGGCUUGCUGGGUCUUUACUGACGCUGAGGCACGAAAGCGUGGGGAGCAAACAGGAUUAGAUACCCUGGUAGUCCACGCCGUAAACGAUGAGUACUAAACGUUGGGUAAAACCAGUGUUGAAGUUAACACAUUAAGUACUCCGCCUGAGUAGUACGUACGCAAGUAUGAAACUUAAAGGAAUUGACGGGACUCCGCACAAGCGGUGGAUCAUGUUGUUUAAUUCGAAGGUACCCGAAAAACCUCACCAGGUCUUGACAUGCUUCUGCAAAGCUGUAGAAACACAGUGGAGGUUAUCAGUUGCACAGGUGGUGCAUGGUUGUCGUCAGCUCGUGUCGUGAGAUGUUGGGUUAAGUCCCGCAACGAGCGCAACCCUUAUUGUUAGUUACCAGCACGUAAUGGUGGGGACUUUAGCAAGACUGCCAGUGAUAAAUUGGAGGAAGGUGGGGACGACGUCAAAUCAUCAUGCCCCUUAUGACCUGGGCUACAAACGUGAUACAAUGGCUGUUACAAAGGGUAGCUGAAGCGCAAGUUUUUGGCGAAUCUCAAAAAAACAGUCUCAGUUCGGAUUGAAGUCUGCAACUCGACUUCAUGAAGUUGGAAUCGC
rnacentral:rRNA from 1 species